rnacentral:rRNA from 1 species
UCUGCGGAAGGAUAUUA